rnacentral:rRNA from 1 species
UGGUGGCGACCGGCGCACGGGUGAGUAACACGUAUCCAACCUGCCGAUGACUCGGGGAUAGCCUUUCGAAAGAAAGAUUAAUACCCGAUGGCAUAGUUCUUCCGCAUGGUAGAACUAUUAAAGAAUUUCGGUCAUCGAUGGGGAUGCGUUCCAUUAGGUUGUUGGCGGGGUAACGGCCCACCAAGCCUUCGAUGGAUAGGGGUUCUGAGAGGAAGGUCCCCCACAUUGGAACUGAGACACGGUCCAA